rnacentral:misc_RNA from 1 species
GAUGAAGAACGUAGCGAAAUGCGAUACGUAAUGUGAAUUGCAAAUUCAGUUAAUCAUCGAGUCUUUGAACGCACAUUGCGCCCCCUGGUAUUCCGGGGGGCAUGCCUGUCCGAGCGUCAUUGCUGCCCUCAAGCACGGCUUGUGUGUUGGGCCCCGUCCUCCGAUCCCGGGGGACGGGCCCGAAAGGCAGCGGCGGCACCGCGUCCGGUCCUCGAGCGUAUGGGGCUUUGUCACCCGCUCUGUAGGCCCGGCCGGCGCUUGCCGAUCAACCCAAAUUUUUAUCCAGGUUGACCUCGGAUCAGGUAGGGAUACCCGCUGAACUUAAGCAUAUCAAUAAGCGGAGGA